GGGGCGGUGGUCUAGUGGUCAUGGCGCUCUCUCUCUUAGAGAGAGGUUGGUGGUUCGAAUCCAUCCCGCUCCA
rnacentral:tRNA from 1 species